rnacentral:rRNA from 1 species
AACGAACGCUGGCGGCAUGCCUAACACAUGCAAGUCGAACGAGACCUUCGGGUCUAGUGGCGCACGGGUGCGUAACGCGUGGGAACCUGCCCUUAGGUUCGGAAUAACUCCCCGAAAGGGGUGCUAAUACCGGCUAAUGUCUUCGGACCAAAGAUUUAUCGCCUUUGGAUGGGCCCGCGUUGGAUUAGCUAGUUGGUAGGGUAAAAGCCUACCAAGGCGACGAUCCAUAGCUGGUCUGAGAGGAUGAUCAGCCACACUGAGACUGAGACACGGCCCAGACUCCUACGGGAGGCAGCAGUGGGGAAUAUUGGACAAUGGGCGAAAGCCUGAUCCAGCAAUGCCGCGUGAGUGAUGAAGGCCUUAGGGUUGUAAAGCUCUUUUACCCGGGAUGAUAAUGACAGUACCGGGAGAAUAAGCACCGGCUAACUCCGUG